UACGUAGGGUGCGAGCGUUGUCCGGAAUUACUGGGCGUAAAGAGCUCGUAGGUGGUUUGUCGCGUUGUUCGUGAAAACUCACAGCUCAACUGUGGGCGUGCGGGCGAUACGGGCAGACUGGAGUACUGCAGGGGAGACUGGAAUUCCUGGUGUAGCGGUGGAAUGCGCAGAUAUCAGGAGGAACACCGGUGGCGAAGGCGACUACCUGGCCUGUUCUUGACGCUGAGGCGCGAAAGCUAGGGGAGCAAACGGG
rnacentral:rRNA from 1 species